UACGAAGGGGGCUAGCGUUGCUCGGAAUCACUGGGCGUAAAGCGCGCGUAGGCGGAUUGCUAAGUCAGGGGUGAAAUCCUGGAGCUCAACUCCAGAACUGCCUUUGAUACUGGCAAUCUCGAGUCCGGGAGAGGUGAGUGGAACUGCGAGUGUAGAGGUGAAAUUCGUAGAUAUUCGCAAGAACACCAGUGGCGAAGGCGGCUCACUGGCCCGGUACUGACGCUGAGGUGCGAAAGCGUGGGGAGCAAACAGG
rnacentral:rRNA from 1 species